ensembl:lncRNA
CUUGUGCAGCAGCUUGAGCACGGGCGGAGCAGGUGUGCGGCUUUCCGUGCGCACCAGUGGGUGAGAAAGCUGUGUUUGAAGUGAGCAGGAGGAGGGAAGGGCUCGCGGUUGUCUGGCUGCCUUACCCUUGGUGGGCGUUCGCUCUUGUGUUUUCAAUCUGAACCCAGCCUUGCGCUGAAUAAUUAUAUCGCUUUAUAGAUGAUUACAGAUACUCAGAUGGAGCCGUGUCAUCACCUGCUCAGGCUCCAACUCCCCCAGGACCCCAUGCCCCCGAUGUUACCAUAAGCGUUGCUGCUCGGCACAGCAAGCUGGGAAAAACAGCAUGGGCUCGUUUCAAACACUUGGCUCACCACAGGCACCUCAUGUGGGACAAGCCUCACCUAAUGACAACUGCAUGUGCUGCAGACAGAGAUAUAAGACAACACAUGUACACGGAGGGUCAUGCCGCCAAUCAGUCCCACAUCACACUGCGCUCAAGAGUCUCAACUCUGCUCAAGGCUGCUCUCAGCAGGCACCAGCUCUUCCAUGGGUGUUAAAGGCACCUCUUCCCUUCUCUACUACAGCACUUCCACUUUGCCGAACGAAGCAGAAAUGCUUUCUCAAUAAGGGCUCCCCAAAAGCAGAUUUCUCAGGUGUUCUCCAGAAAGCUUCGUCUGAUGCAACUCUGCUUCCUCCUUCUCUUCAUUGAACUGCGGCCACAAUCAGUUUCCCGCAGCACUCACACCUUAAGACACAUGGUUCUUGCAUAUGAGCAAUCUCAGACACAGACUCAGCAAACAUUAUAACAUUCAUUACCCAGCACAAAGCUUUCUUGCAUCUGUCUUCAACUGGCAUUUCUGCAUAAGGCAAAAUGAAAUAAAUCACUCGGCAGUCCUCAAAGCACGAGCCCAGCAGGAACACAUAGGCAUCUCAUGGACCCUUAGCCUGGCACUGGGAAGGGAGAGAUGGAGACCAAUUAUGGGACCACUGGUCUGUCUUCAGAGCAAAUGUUCCCGGUCCAUCCCAGGGGCUAUUUCAACAGCAGUGCCUCUGGUUUGGCUUGGUUUACUUUGAGGUGAUCAUUUCUCUCUUAUUUAUUUAUUUAUUUAUUUAUAGUGUCGAGAUCAAGAGGUCUUUGGGAGCAAUGGAAGCCACAAUGAGCUGCUUCUGCAGUGCCACUGGCCGGAGCCAGCAGGCUGGCAGCCCAUCCUGCCUGAGAAGAGGGAGGGAUAGAAGGGGUUCCUUUGGGUGUGGGGUUGUCAGAUGCUUUCUCUGUGCUUUGCUAAACUGAGACGGAUUUAGAAACAAAGUGUUCAGAGAAAAAGGACUGAAUGGGUUUUCUGUAGAAAAAUAUUGAAAUGAAAUACUGUGGCUUUUUCAUUUUUUUCCUUCAUGUUCUUGAGUGAAACUGUUGCUGGGAAUUUGACCUCAGGACCCAGAGAGUUUCUGUGAAUCCCAAACAGCAUUUCAGGCAAGUGAGAUACCUACAAUACGUCAGCACAAGAAUGCUGGCCAUUUUCCCUACCAGAAUACUGAGACCUCUCAUACCUUACCGAGAGAUUAGAGUAUAACCACUUCUGUUUGCUUGUUUGUUUUAAGCAAUUUCCUUUAGUACUCGGUGAAUUGCUUCAUGACACACUGAGCAACUUGUUUUCAUAUUGCUACAUGCAAUUCUGCUGGGUGAAAUUUAUGUCGCAAAGUGUAUUCUCAGUUUUAAUCAAGCUCUCUUGGCCAAGGAAAGAAUGAUAUUUGAUAGGAAGACGGGGAAGUGAAUGCAAGGAAAAUUUUUAUCUCUUCUGUCUACUAUCUGCAAAAUGAAAAUACCUAAUUUUAUUAAUGGGAUACCGAUUCAGCUGGCCUGGCUCUGCUGAGUACCAGUUGCAGUCACAAAAUCUCAGGUCUUUGGUGCUUUGAAGUCAACAGCGUUGUGCACAGGCAGUACCAUAUAAAGAAGAAAAUAGUCAGAAAGAAAUGUAAAGGCCAUGUACACCAUUUAAUUGACAUGACUUUGGAAACGCCUAUGUGAGCAAAGUAAUUAAAGGCCAAGAAGUAGGGAGAGCAGGAAGAAAACUGAGAAGUAGCAAUUAAUUUAAAAUAUUUUGACGUUUCUCUUUGCAAAUUCCAUAAUUUUCAUAACACAACACAAACUAGAAGUAACAUUUUGCAUCUUCAGGAUGCUACUCUGUGCUGGAUACAGACACCUACCAAAUACAGUUUGUCUGAGAGAUGAAUAAAAGGACUAAUUGUUUCGGCUUCAGCAUGAUGGUGAACUUUGAUGGCAUCCUACUAAAACACAUAACAUUUAUUGCCAUGAUAAACUGCUCUUGAGGGAGUGAUUUCCCUGCCCUCCCAGCUGGAGCUGUCGUGCUGCAAUGACAGAGUGGGUAAGGAAGGGACAGAACAAUAGCGAAGUCAAGGAGCUGGAGCCUGACCUUAACAGAGUGGGUGGUAUUUGCUGCAGUCCAGAAAAGCAAAUAACUCAUUCAAAGGUGAUAGAUUUUACUGGGGAGUGGAAAUAACAAAGCUGAGAAAUAAAGUAGAGCAAACAGAGUAUGAAAGCAUAUUAAAGUAACAGAAGGGGAGGGAACUUCUCAGUAGGUUUGAAUACCAAGGAAAGAAAGAGAAAAAGAGAGAAAAAUAAAGAAUAAGAUGGAGGAGAGAGGAGAAAGGGAUGGGGAAGUAGGAAAAGCACAAGAAAGAAAAGGAGAAGUAGACAAGAAAGAUCAAAAAUAAAGAACAAAGAAGGAGAAAAAAAAAAAGAAGAAACAAAAAAGAAAAAAAGAAAAAGAAAAACAGAAAAAAAAGAAAAAAAGGGAAAAAAAGAAAGAAGAAAAAUAUAUAAGAAAGAAGCAAGUCUCACGGUUGCGAGGUGGUCUUGAUUAAACGUAUCACUCAGUAACACGUCCAAAGCGCACCAAGCCAUGUCAUGGAACACCUCGCUUGACAGCCAGUGUGUAAUUGAGUAGUUGUACAGGAAAAUUUGUUUCUGUUUUCUCUUAUUUGAGACCAGACACUGCGGGACCUGCAGGCAGCAGCAACGUCCUUCUUGGUCACUGUCUCAGUCAACACGCAGGAGUAAAAAAGAGCUCUUUUUUUUGUCCAGUGCAAUUACCUGUACAUUUUAACCAUUGUGUCCAUUGCCUUAAUUUCCAUAUAGUCUAAGAAUGAGAAAGGCCAGAGACCUACACACCGGCCUAAAAAAUGAGGAGUUGCUUUGGUACCAAUGACCUUAAUCCUGUUGCACUUGCUGUGUGCAGACAAAACAUGACACCGGCCGCAAUGUGUGCAUUUGGAACUUGAAAGGGGUCAGUUCUCCAAAGCUAAAAUAAAUCAGCAUGAUGACUGACUAAAAAGUGGUAUUGUUCAAGGAUAUUUUAUUUGCUCAGAAAAACACCACAGAUAGGAGAAAGUAUUCUGGCUGAAAGGAGACACGGAAGCUGCAACACACCAUAAAUAUGCAUCUAGAAUGACAGAAAAGGGAAAAAAAAG